CAGACCACAAACGCACCUCACUCCCCCUUUCUCUCGAAUCCGGCGACUAGAGACGACCCCCGGCCGGUUGUUCCGGUGCCGGUCCAUUCCGACAACACCCACCCCUAUCCCCUCGUCUCUGGUCCGGCCGGCGACGAUGCCGGUGGUUAAUCAGCUACCACCAUUCACCACCUUCUCCAACACCCCCCCCGGUUAGCAUGACGAACCACCACCACCGGCGUCUGGUGGUGGUGCGGCGGAGAAACAGAGAGAGAGAGAGAGAGAGGCGAUGGGAGAGAGAGCGGAGAGAGAGAACCAUUGGCACGUGGCGGCGCGUGACGGUGUGGCGUCGGGCAGGGAAAGAGAUCGAGAGGCGAGAGAGAUAGAACCGGCGGUCGGAGACUUGGACCGCCGGUCGGUUCGUUUACCCGGCGGUCUGCGUCAACGACCGUCGGUUCUUGCCAUUAUCCGACAAAACUCCGGACGAAGAUGAUCUUGAAGAUGAUGACGGCAGCCGGCCGACGGACGGAGCCACACCGGCGGCGCUGAUGGUGGUUCUCGGUGCAUCUAGUUUCUGUUCGGGUCUUGUCUUGUCGAUUUUUGACUCACAUGGUUCAUAUUGGUGCCUCGGGUCAGAUAUGGACCUCGGUCACACCCGAGUCAACUCGGGUCAACAGCAGGUCAACCUUUGUCAACGGUCAACGAUUCGGUUCGGGUCAGAUGGUUCGGGUCAGAAUAUGAAACGGUUUGGUUGACUCGGACAAACUGAGUCAACUCGGUCAAACCAAGUCAACUCAGUUGACCCGGUCAACUCAGUCAGCUCACUCGACAUUUCAGCAUGAAGACUUGGUAAAAAUUAAUGACGCGUUUAAUAUUUGUGCUUUUAUAGAUUUAAACUCACGUGAGCGAGCUCGAACCGAUUUAUAAUAAUGUUUAGUUUAUACUU